rnacentral:rRNA from 1 species
AACGAACGCUGGCGGCAGGCUUAACACAUGCAAGUCGAGCGCUGUAGCAAUACAGAGCGGCAGACGGGUGAGUAACGCGUGGGAACAUACCCUUUUCUACGGAAUAACGCAGGGAAACUUGUGCUAAUACCGUAUGAGCCCUUCGGGGGAAAGAUUUAUCGGGAAAGGAUUGGCCCGCGUUGGAUUAGCUAGUUGGUGGGGUAAAGGCCUACCAAGGCGACGAUCCAUAGCUGGUCUGAGAGGAUGAUCAGCCACAUUGGGACUGAGACACGGCCCAAACUCCUACGGGAGGCAGCAGUGGGGAAUAUUGGACAAUGGGCGCAAGCCUGAUCCAGCCAUGCCGCGUGAGUGAUGAAGGCCCUAGGGUUGUAAAGCUCUUUCACCGGAGAAGAUAAUGACGGUAUCCGGAGAAGAAGCCCCGGCUAACUUCGUG